rnacentral:rRNA from 1 species
GACGAACCGAGCGAACGUUAUUCGGAAUCACUGGGCUUAAAGGGCGCGUAGGCGGGCCGGAUAGUCAGGGGUGAAAGCCCCCAGCUCAACUGGGGAAGUGCCUCUGAUACUGCCGGCCUCGAGGGAGGUAGGGGCGUGCGGAACUUCCGGUGGAGCGGUGAAAUGCGUAGAUAUCGGGAGGAACACCGGGUGGCGAAAGGCGGACCAUCUGGAGCCGGAUACUGACGCUGAGACGCGAAAAGCCGGUGGGUAGCAAAACGAG